UACGGAGGAUCCAAGCGUUAUCCGGAUUUAUUGGGUUUAAAGGGUGCGUAGGCGGCCUAUUAAGUCAGGGGUGAAAGACGGUAGCUUAACUAUCGCAGUGCCUUUGAUACUGAUGGGCUUGAAUGAACUAGAGGUAGGCGGAAUGUGACAAGUAGCGGUGAAAUGCAUAGAUAUGACAUAGAACUCCGAUUGCGAAGGCAGCUAACUAAGCAAGUAUUGACGCUGAGGCACGAAAGCGUGGGGAUCAAACAGG
rnacentral:rRNA from 1 species